rnacentral:rRNA from 1 species
AUUGAAGGCUGGCGGCAUGCUUUACACAUGCAAGUCGAACGGUAACAGGUUAAGCUGACGAGUGGCGAACGGAUGAGUAACGCAUCGGAACGUGCCCGAUCGUGGGGGAUAACGCAGCGAAAGCUGCGCUAAUACCGCAUAAGAUCCGAGGAUGAAAGCGGGGGACUUUAUAGCAAUAUGAGGCCUCGCGCGAUCGGAGCGGCCGAUGUCAGAUUAGGUAGUUGGCGGGGUAAAGGCCCACCAAGCCGACGAUCUGUAGCUGGUCUGAGAGGACGACCAGCCACACUGGGACUGAGACACGGCCCAGACUCCCACGGGAGGCAGCAGUGGGGAAUUUUGGACAAUGGGCGCAAGCCUGAUCCAGCAAUGCCGCGUGCAGGAAGAAGGCCUUCGGGUUGUAAACUGCUUUUGUACGGAGCGAAAAGGUCUUCUCUAAUAAAGAAGGCUGAUGACGGUACCGUAAGAAUAAGCACCGGCUAACUACGUGCCAGCAGCCGCCGUAAAAC